GAAGAAGAGUGAGGCUUUCUGAUGUAGGGCUUGAAGUGCAGAACAAAUGUAGAUUAGUGCAGAUACAGGAUCAACCAUUAGUAGAUCCUGCUGGCGUAAGUCUUUCUACACGAAUGGCAAAGCUUUCUGCAAAUGCUUUCACUAUCAAGCUUGCUUCAUCUACAACUUCAAAACCUAUGCAACUCUAUUUUGACACUGAAGCUGAAAAUUCAGUCUUGAAAUGGUUAGAAC
rnacentral:misc_RNA from 1 species